rnacentral:rRNA from 1 species
UACAGAGGGGGCAAGCGUUGUUCGGAAUUACUGGGCGUAAAGGGCGCGUAGGCGGCCCGCUAAGUCGAACGUGAAAUCCCCGAGCUCAACUCGGGAACUGCGUCCGAUACUGGCGGGCUUGAAUCCGGGAGAGGGAUGCGGAAUUCCAGGUGUAGCGGUGAAAUGCGUAGAUAUCUGGAGGAACACCGGUGGCGAAGGCGGCAUCCUGGACCGGCAUUGACGCUGAGGCACGAAAGCGUGGGUAGCAAACAGGG